CACCAGCUACGCUAUAAUUUAUAAUAUAGUUUAUAGAUGGCUUUGCUUUGCUCACCAUGGAUUAUGGAAUCGCUGCUUUUAUUUCUUUCGACCUCGUUAAGAGGCUCGUGAUGUUCUUCUUCUCUCUGCAAGCGAUGCAUCGCCGUCCAUUUUUCCUUAUCUUCCUCCUCAUCGUGUGGCUAUCCGCUGCAGAUCCUCAGCACGAAGCGCCGCCUUCGCAGGCGCCCACUGUCCCCGACCGGUGGAAGCUCCACGGUCGGCCCUUCAACGUCGUCGACUACGGGGCCGCCGGAGAUGGCCGGCGGUACGACACAAAGGCCAUCCAGGCCGCCGUUGACGCCUGCACAGCUGCCGGGGGCGGCCGUGUCGUCCUUCCGUCUCCGGGGAGGUACCUCACGGGUACGAUCUUCCUCCGAUCGGGCGUCUUUCUGGUGGUGGAGAAGGGCGCCAGGUUGCUCGGCAGCCCUUCGCAGCUUAAGUACCCGAGGGAUCAGCGGCGGUGGUACGUCGUGCUAGCGGAGAGAGCCACGGACGUCGGGAUCACCGGCGGGGGGGUGAUCGACGGUCAGGGGGAGAAGUUCGUGGAGAGGUACGACGAACGGAAGAACGUGAUGGUGAGCUGGAACGCGACGGGCAGCUGCUGGGGGGACGAGUGCCGGCCCAGGCUCGUCGGGUUCGUCGAUUGCCGGAACAUCCGCGUCUGGGACGUCCGAUUGACUCAGCCCGCCUAUUGGUGUUUGCACAUCGUUAGGUCCAAUAACACAUUGAUUCAUGAUGUAGCCAUAGAUGGCGACUUCAAUACUCCUAACAAUGAUGGUAUAGACAUAGAAGAUUCAAAUAAUACAAUCAUCACUAGAUGCAGUAUUGAUACAGGAGAUGAUGCAAUCUGUCCAAAAUCAUCUUCGGGACCAGUAUAUAAUUUGACAGCAACUCAGUGCUGGAUACGGACCAAAUCUUCUGCAAUAAAGCUGGGCAGUGCUAGCUGGUUUAAUUUUAAGAACUUUUUAUUUGACAAUAUUACUAUUGUUGAAUCUCAUAGGGGGCUUGCAUUUCAGAUACGUGAUGGAGGAAAUGCCAGUGAUAUAGUUUUCUCAAACAUAAAAAUUGAGACUCGAUAUUAUCACCGUUCAUGGUGGGGAAGAGCAGAACCUAUUUAUAUUACUUCUUGUCCUCGGCAUCAACAUUCAAAAGCUGGUUCAAUCUCCAAUAUUAAGUUUAUCAAUGUCUCAGCAGUUUCAGAGAAUGGAGCCUUUUUAUCCGGAUCUGCAAAAGGGCUGUUAAGUGACAUUGAGUUCAUAAAUGUGAACUUAACAUUUAGAAGGUGGACAAAUUUUGAUGGUGGAAUUGUUGAUUAUAGACCUGGAUGUCAAGGGCUGGUCAAACAUGGAAUAGCCGGGAUCAUCAUGGAACACAUCUCAGGUUUGGUCACGGAAAAUUUAAAGAUGGAUUGGGCCCAGGAAAGCACACCAGGGUGGAACACCCCUCUUGAUUUCACUCCUUCGACCGUGAAUAAUAUACACUUGACAGAUUUCCAGUCAACAGUUUUAUGAAUGGAAAUUAUUUCAAUGCUGAAACUGGCAUAAAUUUAUCAUUGGAAAUUUGUUCAGGUUGUCUUGCUUGCAACUUGAUGAUUGGACAGGUGAAAUGAAUAAUAUACUGCAGAAAGAGCAAUUGAUCUGUCCAAUAUGGGCUGCAGUAGCACAAGCUUCCUAUUCCUCCACGGUGGUUACAAGUUUAGAAUAUCGAUUUCUUUCUUAGUUUUCAGUAGGUUUUCAUAUUCUUUA